rnacentral:lncRNA from 1 species
AUUCAUCUCUUUCUCAGAAGGAAUGUGCAAGAAAACCAUGAAAGAAAGGCCUCAAUUUCAGCUUUCUGGAGUUGGUCUCGCUCAGUAGUUGCCAGCAUUGGGUGCUCCUCUGCUCUCGGGAUCCUGCUUUUAACCAUUAGAAAUAUAUGCUCCUUUCACUGGCUCUGACAAUCUCUAUUCACUGAUUGCUAUUGCAUUUUUCUUGAGUUUAUGCAUAGAUGGAAGGAUAAUUUUAAAUUCCCAAACUAGGCCUGGAUUUAAGCAGAAAGAGUUUAUUUUCUUUGGGAUCAUACUCAGAGGUUUUCUGUCAUGGAAGAACUCUGGAGCUCAUACUGUGCUGUUUGCAUCUCCGAGAAGCCAGGAUUCAUGCCCCAAUGUGGCAUCAAAAACAACAACAACAACAACAACAGCAACAACAGCAACAGUGACAACAGUAACAGCAGCAGCAGCAGCAGCAGCAGCAGCAGCAGCAGCAGCAGCAGCAGCAGCAGCAGCAGCAGCAGCAGCCUACAGCAACAGCAACAACAGCAACAGCAACAGCAACAACAGUAACAACAGCAGCAGCAGCAACAACAGCAACAACAGUAACAACAGCAGCAGCAGCAGCAACAGCAACAGCAACAACAGCAACAGCAACAAUAACAACAGUAACAAUAGCAGCAGCAGCAGCAACAACAAGCAGCAUGAAGAUGUUACCUUCUUGAAAUAUAAUUCUAAGAUUUGUGAAAUAAAAAUUCAGGUCCAACAAUUCCUAUCUGUUAUUCCUCUGGUAUUUGUACCUGAGUCUGAGUUCUUAUGCAUUUAAAUUAAUGCUCCAAGAUCCAUUUUCUUUCCCUUAAGCCUAUCAUUAGGCUGUCAGCCACGGAAGCAAGUUAUUAACCCAAUCGAAGAAAGUGAGAAACGGUGGUUUAAUAACUCAUCUCCUUAGAUGAGCAUGAAAGUUAGUGUGUCUUGAUGCUGAGGUCAUUGUUGCUGCUUGUCACAAGAAUGGGGUGUUUUAGGACUUCCCUUGCUGCUCCCAGUACAGGCUGUGGUGGAAUAUUCAAAGGUUGGCUGGGUAUGACUGAGGCAAGUUCCAAGUUAAGCAUAGGAAAACCUCAGUGUCAGUCAGUCAGUCAGUAAACAAACAUUUAUCAAGCAUCACCAUGUGCCCAACACUGUGUUAA